rnacentral:rRNA from 1 species
UAGGGAAUCUUCGGCAAUGGACGAAAGUCUGACCGAGCAACGCCGCGUGAGUGAAGAAGGUUUUCGGAUCGUAAAACUCUGUUGUUAGAGAAGAACAAGGACGUUAGUAACUGAACGUCCCCUGACGGUAUCUAACCAGAAAGCCACGGCUAACUACGUGCCAGCAGCCGCGGUAAUACGUAGGUGGCAAGCGUUGUCCGGAUUUAUUGGGCGUAAAGCGAGCGCAGGCGGUUUCUUAAGUCUGAUGUGAAAGCCCCCGGCUCAACCGGGGAGGGUCAUUGGAAACUGGGAGACUUGAGUGCAGAAGAGGAGAGUGGAAUUCCAUGUGUAGCGGUGAGAUGCGUAGAUAUAUGGAGGAACACCAGUGGCGAAGGCGGCUCUCUGGUCUGUAACUGACGCUGAGGCUAGAAAGCGUGGGGAGCAAACAGG